rnacentral:rRNA from 1 species
GGUUAAGCGACUAAGCGUACACGGUGGAUGCCCUGGCAGUCAGAGGCGAUGAAGGACGUGCUAAUCUGCGAUAAGCGUCGGUAAGGUGAUAUGAACCGUUAUAACCGGCGAUUUCCGAAUGGGGAAACCCAGUGUGUUUCGACACACUAUCAUUAACUGAAUCCAUAGGUUAAUGAGGCGAACCGGGGGAACUGAAACAUCUAAGUACCCCGAGGAAAAGAAAUCAACCGAGAUUCCCCCAGUAGCGGCGAGCGAACGGGGAGCAGCCCAGAGCCUGAAUCAGUGUGUGUGUUAGUGGAAGCGUCUGGAAAGGCGCGCGAUACAGGGUGACAGCCCCGUACACAAAAAUGCACAUGCUGUGAGCUCGAUGAGUAGGGCGGGACACGUGGUAUCCUGUCUGAAUAUGGGGGGACCAUCCUCCAAG